CUGAUCUGUUGAAAGGUUCACUGGUGCAAAUCUAACGGUUUAACGGUUUCCUUCCGGAAUGUGUGGGCGGAGCUCUCUAACAGCUGGGCAGAUAACAGAUGUGUCUCGGGUGGAUGGAGAAAUGUGAACCAGUCCUUUCAUAGCCACACAGCCAGAGAGAAGACACGAUCUAGAUGAUGAAGUCGUGGAUGUCUGAGCACUGGUCUGGUUUCAGGAGGCAGAAAUAGAACACAGCAUGAUUUUCCACCUGAUGCUGGGAAAAAGCACUUACCCCAAGCUGUGCAAGCAGUGAGACAGGCCAAGACCAGAGAAUAAAGCUGCAUCAUGGAAGGA